rnacentral:tRNA from 2 species
GGCGGGUUAGCUCAGUUGGUAGAGCAUCGGAAUCAUAAUCCGCAGGUCGGGGGAUCGUGACCCUCACCCGCCACCA